ACGGAGCAACGCCGCGUGAGUGAUGAAGGCUUUCGGGUCGUAAAACUCUGUUGUUAGGGAAGAACAAGUGCUAGUUGAAUAAGCUGGCACCUUGACGGUACCUAACCAGAAAGCCACGGCUAACUACGUGCCAGCAGCCGCGGUAAUACGUAGGUGGCAAGCGUUAUCCGGAAUUAUUGGGCGUAAAGCGCGCGCAGGUGGUUUCUUAAGUCUGAUGUGAAAGCCCACGGCUCAACCGUGGAGGGUCAUUGGAAACUGGGAGACUUGAGUGCAGAAGAGGAAAGUGGAAUUCCAUGUGUAGCGGUGAAAUGCGUAGAGAUAUGGAGGAACACCAGUGGCGAAGGCGACUUUCUGGUCUGUAACUGACACUGAGGCGCGAAAGCGUGGGGAGCAAACAGGAUUAGAUACCCUGGUAGUCCACGCCGUAAACGAUGAGUGCUAAGUGUUAGAGGGUUUUCGCC
rnacentral:rRNA from 1 species